AGAGUUUGAUCCUGGCUCAGGAUGAACGCUAGCGGUGCGCCUAACACAUGCAAGUCGAGUGCCGCUAAAAGCACGGCGAACGGGUGAGUAACACGUUGGCAACCUGCCCUAAAGUGAGGGAUAACCCGCCGAAAGGCGGACUAAUACCGCAUAAAAAUGGGGGGACGAAAGUCAUUCCCAUUUAAAGUCGCAAGACGCUUAAGGAGGGGCCUGCGGAGUAUCAGCUAGUUGGUAGGGUAACGGCCUACCAAGGCUAUGACGCUUAGUUGGUCUGAGAGGACGACCAACCACAAUGGAACUGAGAUACGGUCCAUACUCCUACGGGAGGCAGCAGUGAGGAAUCUUCCGCAAUGGGCGAAAGCCUGACGGAGCGACACCGCGUGAAGGAUGAAGGCCUUUUGGUUGUAAACUUCUUUUCUGAGGGAAUAAAUGAUGAAGUUACCUCAGGAAUAAGCACCGGCCAACUACGUGCCAGCAGCCGCGGUAAUACGUAGGGUGCAAGCGUUAUCCGGAAUUAUUGGGCGUAAAGCGUUCGUAGGUGGUUAAGCAAGUUUGCGGUUAAAUCCGGUCGCUCAACGAUCGACAUGUCGCAAAAACUGCUUGACUUGAGAUUGACAGAGGUCACUGGAAUUCCACAUGUAGGGGUAAAAUCCGUUGAUAUGUGGAGGAACACCAAAAGCGAAGGCAGGUGACUGGGUCAUUUCUGACACUUAGGAACGAAAGCGUGGGGAGCAAACAGGAUUAGAUACCCUGGUAGUCC
rnacentral:rRNA from 1 species